GUCUACCACAACAUCAUAAUAACAACAUGCUCUAAAUGAUCGUUGUUACUUAUAGUAUUCGACAAGGGGCAAAGAAUGUGCGUUGUAGUAAACCAUUUAACACUAUAUGCGUCAUUUGCACGUUGUUAAUUUUGUUAUCAACAACCUACUUUGCGUGUUGUUAUCCGCAAGUUGUCAAUUAACUUAUCAACAAGCAGGCGUGCACGUUGUUGAAAUUUUUUUAGAAUGACAACAUGUAACGAACGUUGUCAAAACUUUGAGAGAAAAAAAGAUAAAUAGAAAAUUAUGAGGGGAUGGAGUUGUCCGUUUUAUCCUAAAUUUUAGGAGAAAUUUGAAAUUUCAUUGACCUAACUUCUACAAACUCACUAAACGCCCUCAAAGCCAAAAGCUCAUCUCCCGCCACCAACCCUAGUCGACGGUGACCUUCAUAAUGUUCGAUGGGGUCGGAGCCACCUAGUCAUUUCAGACCUCAAGAUACUUUUCAAGCCGUCAACUCUCUCAAGGUACUAUUUUUGACUUCUCCAAUUCCAUAGACUCCGACUCGCCGACAAUGGUGGUUCUCCGUUCACUCCCUCACCGCCUCUCUCUUUUUCCGGCGACCUCUGUUCUCUCCGAAACCUCUCUCCGUCCGCGAAAGAUCGGCGUCCGAUUCAAGCAUUUCCUUCCUUGAGUAUCGUCGGAUCUUGUAUCUCACUCGCAGCGAUUCGUGCAUAGCUCGACCUCCAUGGCCAUCAGAGGCGUCGAUUUCAAGUGAUUGUUGCUGUGGCAAAUUUGACGCCAGCUGAUGAUUCAGUGGACGAGCUUGAUAGUUACAUGUAUCAAACUGUAAAUCUCCUUCCUCUUGUCUAUAUUUCACCUUAUUUGAAUGUUUCUUCUUUCAAAAGCAAAGAGUUAAGUUAUGUAUGUAUGUAUGUAUGUUAAAACUUAAUAGUCAUUAACAGAUCAUACACAAAACUAGGAGAUUUUGAGAAAUGAGAAGCUACCAUUGUUUCCGCAGAUUGGAAGCAUGCAUUUUCCUUACUCUGGCAUUUUCCUUACUCUGGAAAUGCCAAAUAAUACACAAAACUAGUUCUGCAAAUUGUUUAGUUUCGAAAAUAUAUGAGGUAAAUUGGAAAUGCCAUGUGUGAGUUUGAUUGGGGGAAGGCCUUUAGUUUGAUUUAACACAUUUAGGCUACAUGUAAUCAGAAUACAUGUGAAUGCAUACAGAACAAAAGCUUUUGGAUUGAUUAUGCAUACAGAACAAAAGCUUUUGGAUUGAUUUGUACAACUCUAGAAGAUGUCUGAGCAUGGUGAGGUGAGUAAAUUAAUACCAGCAACUCUGUAAGGGUAUUUGGUUAUCAUGUUUUUGUAUUCAUUGUUACAACUCUAUAUGAUUCUGUAUUCAUUUAAUCUUCUUUUAUUCAAGUUCGUGGGCUUGGGUUUGGUGCUACACCAUCUCGAGUCAAUGCUACUAUUCAAGGGAGUGCAAAGGUUAAAGAACUUGAAGCUACUGUAUUAAGUCUCCAAGUACAAAAGUUCAUUGUGUGCCUCUUGGACGAGAUUGUUGGAAGGUUUGGGUUGAUGUGGUGUUUGAUGAGUAUCAGAAUAUGGAAGUGUAUAGAGCAACCAUGGAUGCCAAACAACUUGGUGAAGUUGUAGGAAGCACUCUUGCAUGGCCCAAAAGCUCCAUUAAAAUGCUCCCUUAGUAGUUGAAGUAGCAGGUACAUUUUGCUUUACUAGAGAAUUUAUGUAGGUCAGGAAGUACCAUGCAUGUUUUGUGAAUGCUGAUGAACAAAGAAUCCAGUACUUUGUCAUGCUUGUUUUGUAAAGCACAUAUGUAUAAGAGAAUGUGGCACUCCUAAUGAAAUGUAUAUUUUUCAUA